rnacentral:lncRNA from 1 species
UAUCCACGGUGCACAGGUGGGGCUGAAACGGAUAACAGGAGCGGGCGCCGGAGGGGCGGAGGAGAGCCGCGAAGAAAGAGAAAGAAGAAGCCGGAGAAAGACGGCGACAGCUGGGAAUAGAAAGAAAAAAAUUACGGAGGAAAAGAGGAGAGACGGACGUCGACGUUGAAAAGGAUGCUGCGCGCUGUCGAUUACGACCAUGCGGGGAAAAGCGAGAAGCUGCGGAAUAAUCUGGGAACGAGAAGAAAAGGAAAAGUUGAAACGCCGAAAGAAAAAGAGUUAAAACGCGUGGAGCGUGAAAGAGAGCGUGUAUUCGGUAAGGAGCGAAGAGCGAGCAGACCGGAGCGCUGUGAAUGGAACACGUGUACGGUGUCGCAUCUAUCUGAAAAGUUCAUCGUUACAAAGAUCUCUCGAAAAGAAUUUCCUGGAAUGCGAGCUAUCUUCGGGACCAUGGUGGCGAGUGUGUAAUCGAAGGAAUCGUAGAGCACUUUUCUCAUGCAAAUACCCUCGGAUGCGAGAGAAGGGACAACCAACUUCUUCUUUGGUCCGCUUAAAACUUCGAACUUGGGUAUCCUUUUAAAUUUAAAUGCUUUCCCCCAGCUCGAGCGCAUCCGUGCCCCUGAGUUCCUCUUUCGAACGACAUCGUCGCCUCGCCUCGCCUCGAUGUCGCCUCGAUGUCGCCUCGAUAUUAAGAAAAAUACUAAAAUCUACUUGUUCCUCGCGUAUUCUAUGCACAGGUAAACCGACAUUUCCUCUAAUAUCCUUUUCGAUUAUUACGUUCCACUGUUCCAGAUACGUUUUCGAGUCUCGCGGCCAAUCGAAUUUGUAGAGCUUUCGCUCGUAACGAGUCGACGCGAUACGUCCGCGUCCGUCGAAAACUACAGCAGCUUUACCAGCUAUAGCAGCGGGAAACGACGAGAAAUAUUAAUAAUAGCUGAUUCGAGCAUUUCGGGAUUCUAACAACGGAUUAUCCUAGUUUUCCACGCUGACGCCGGGGCCUUCUAUAAAAUGUGGCGAAAUUUCGAUAUCGAUAAUGAGUACGUACAUAAAUAUCAGUUUGUAGCGCACGUAACGAAACACACUGCAUAUUUCAACGCGAAUGGGAAAAUAUUUUCCAGAGAAGCGUUAAAAAUUCAAUCUUUCGAGUAACAAAAUGCUGGGGAAUUUCCAUAACUGGCGCCAUUGUUUUUGCAGGAAACGUUACGGUGGUCAUAAAAGGACGUUCGUUCGAUCCGGCAAUUAUUGAAACGAAUAAAAUUUUCACUCUGUACGUAAUAAUAAGCGGGCGCACGAAUAUACCGCAAUAAUUACGAGAACGUGCACCGGAAUCGUUGCGAUCCAAAUGUAUCAAAAAUUAUUAUUUCCCGGGCGACGUUCAAUGACCAGAAAAAUAUUUGCCUAUAACGAGACGCGUCGUCGAGCCGGGGACAGGAUACGAUCGCAAUUUGAAAUUCGAAUUAUUAUAAUUAUGGGUUGGUCCGUUAAAAAUCAGAAGACAAAGAGAGAAAAGCGGUAACCACCGCUAUCCAAUGAUACAAUUAAUAAAGAGUUACAUGGUAGAAUGCGUCUACGAGAUGAGCUUGUUAAAUCGAAAAUUUUCAUGCGCAUUAAAUUAAGAAUCGAUCGUACGCGUUAUUACGAUACUAACGCAACUUGCCAAUAUUUCCCUCGUAUUAAACGAAGAAAAAAACAGGCGUAAUAAUCAUUCUCCGCGUUAAUAGAGUAUAAACGUUUCCUUUCUCGUCCUGCGGAGUGUUCUUAUCAAGAUUCUUCUCAACUUAUCAGGAUAGUUCCUUACGCGCAAGGAAGAUGAUCUGCGCCCGGAACGACUCGAAGAACGCUGCGAGAUCACCGGCAACGGCAACGGCAACGCGUCGGCUACCUAUUCGAUGUAUACGAUAUUUCUUCGCGACUUGUCAAUAAAACGUUUACGA